rnacentral:sRNA from 1 species
CGCAGCUUGAAGGUUGGGCUUAUUUUUAUGUAUCAAUGCGAUCCGUUCGUCCUGUUAACAUAAGUAAUACCGGCAUAUUCCAGCUUUACUGCCGUUUUGGCUUUAUUUUUAUUUAGUUACAGGAUUUAUAUCAUGUCUCAAGUUACUGGCGUUGUUAAGUGGUUCAACUCUGACAAAGGUUUUGGAUUUAUCGAGCAAGAGUCUGGUCCAGACGUCUUCGUUCACUUCCGUGCGAUUCAGUCAGACGGUUUCAAAACUCUUGACGAAGGUCAGAAAGUUCAAUUCACUGUGACUCAAGGUCAGAAAGGUCCACAAGCUGAAAACGUAACUAUCGUUUAGGUUUGGACUUUCGAUUAGCUUUUAGCUAAUCCAAAAGAAUUUGUAAGAGCUGCGAUUUAUCGCGGCUCUUUUU